UACGUAGGGUGCAAGCGUUAUCCGGAAUUAUUGGGCGUAAAGAGCUCGUAGGCGGUUUGUCGCGUCUGCUGUGAAAACCGGAGGCUCAACCUCCGGCCUGCAGUGGGUACGGGCAAACUAGAGUGCGGUAGGGGAGAUUGGAAUUCCUGGUGUAGCGGUGGAAUGCGCAGAUAUCAGGAGGAACACCAAUGGCGAAGGCAGCUCGCUGGAACGGUACUGACGCUGAGGCGCGAAAGCGUGGGGAGCGAACAGG
rnacentral:rRNA from 1 species